rnacentral:rRNA from 1 species
AUUGAACGCUGGCGGAAUGCUUGACACAUGCAAGUCGAACGGCAGCACGGACUUCGGUCUGGUGGCGAGUGGCGAACGGGUGAGUAAUGUAUCGGAACGUGCCCAGUCGUGGGGGAUAACGUAGUGAAAAUUACGCUAAUACCGCAUACGAUCUAUGGAUGAAAGCGGGGGAUCGCAAGACCUCGCGCGAGUGGAGCUGCCGAUAUCAGAUUAGGUAGUUGGUGGGGUAAAGGCCCACCAAGCCAACGAUCUGUCGCUGGUGUGAAAGGACAACCAAGCAAACUGGAACUGAGACACGGUCCAGACUCCUACGGGAGGCAGCAGUGGGGAAUUUUGGACAAUGGGCGAAAGCCUGAUCCAGCCAUUCCGCGUGCAGGAUGAAGGCCCUCGGGUUGUAAACUGCUUUUGUACAGAACGAAAAGGUUUCUACUAAUACUAGGAGCUCAUGACGGUACUGUAAGAAUAAGCACCGGCUAACUACGUGCCAGCCGCCGCCGUAA